rnacentral:rRNA from 1 species
GACGAACGCUGGCGGCGUGCUUAACGCAUGCAAGUCGAACGAUGAAGCCGGAGCUUGCUCUGGUGAAUUAGUGGCGAACGGGUGAGUAACACGUGAGUAACCUGCCCUUGACUCUGGGAUAACUGCGGGAAACUGUAGCUAAUACCGGAUACGACCCUCGGAGGCAUCUCCUGGGGGUGGAAAGAAUUUCGGUCAAGGAUGGACUCGCGGCCUAUCAACUAGUUGGUGAGGUAAAGGCUCACCAAGGCGACGACGGGUAGCCGGCCUGAGAGGGUGACCGGCCACACUGGGACUGAGAGACGGCCCAGACUCCUACGGGAGGCAGCUGUGGGGAAUAUUGCACAAUGGGCGCAAGCCUGAUGCAGCAACGCCGCGUGAGGGAUGACGGCCUUCGGGUUGUGAACCUCUUUUAGCAGGGAAGAAGCGAAAGUGACGGUACCUGCAGAAAAAGCACCGGCUAACUACGUGCCAGCCGCCGCGGUAA